rnacentral:rRNA from 1 species
UAGCGGUGGAAUGCGUAGAUAUAUGGAAGAACACCAGUGGCGAAGGCGGCUACCUGGUCUGCAACUGACGCUGAGACUCGAAAGCAUGGGUAGCGAACAGGAUUAGAUACCCUGGUAGUCCAUGCCGUAAACGAUGAGUGCUAGGUGUUGGAGGGUUUCCGCCCUUCAGUGCCGGAGCUAACGCAUUAAGCACUCCGCCUGGGGAGUACGACCGCAAGGUUGAAACUCAAAGGAAUUGACGGGGGCCCGCACAAGCGGUGGAGCAUGUGGUUUAAUUCGAAGCUACGCGAAGAACCUUACCAGGUCUUGACAUCUUGCGCCAACCCUAGAGAUAGGGCGUUUCCUUCGGGAACGCAAUGACAGGUGGUGCAUGGUCGUCGUCAGCUCGUGUCGUGAGAUGUUGGGUUAAGUCCCGCAACGAGCGCAACCCUUGUUACUAGUUGCCAGCAUUAAGUUGGGCACUCUAGUGAGACUGCCGGUGACAAACCGGAGGAAGGUGGGGACGACGUCAGAUCAUCAUGCCCCUUAUGACCUGGGCUACACACGUGCUACAAUGGACGGUACAACGAGUCGCGAACUCGCGAGGGCAAGCAAAUCUCUUAAAACCGUUCUCAGUUCGGACUGCAGGCUGCAACUCGCCUGCACGAA